GCAAGUCGUGCGCGAAAGUCUUCGGACGAGUAAAGCGGCGAAAGGGUGAGUAACACGUAAUCAACGUACCCCCCAGACCGGGAUAACCUCUAGAAAUGGUGGAUAAUACCGGAUGGACUUAUGGCUGGGCAUCCAGUCAAUAGUAAACGGCGGCUUCGGCUGCUGCUGGGGGAGCGGGUUGCGGCCUAUCAGCUUGUUGGUGUGGUAACGGCACACCAAGGCAAUGACGGGUAGCGGGUCUGAGAGGAUGAUC
rnacentral:rRNA from 1 species